UCUUGACCUCAAAUCANGUAGGAUUACCCGCUGAACUUAAGCAUAUCAAUAA
rnacentral:rRNA from 1 species